rnacentral:misc_RNA from 1 species
AAAGUCGUAACAAGGUUUCCGUAGGUGAACCUGCGGAAGGAUCAUUAAAUAAUCUUGAUUUUAUCUACUAAAAUCUUUAUUUUACUGUGAACUGUAUUAUUACGAGACGCUUGAGGGAUGCCUACUGAUUAUAAAGGAUAAGUCAGUAGGAUGUUAACCGAGUCUCGAUCAAGCUCUAACGGGCUUGGUAUCCUAAUUUAUUAUUAACCAAAUGAAUUCAGUAUAAAUAAUUGUAACAUAGACCUAAAAAAUCUAUAAAAACAACUUUUAACAACGGAUCUCUUGGUUCUC